CUACAUUGUUUUCUGGCUUGUUUAGUUACUGAUCAGAAGCUUGAAGUCAGCUGUGGUUCUUUGUUCCUCCCUAGGAUGGUUCCUGGCCAGAGUCUACUGAGUGGAUCUGUAAGACCAGUGAGCAUGAAGCCAGACUAUGACCCUCUGCAGCUGCCUGGAACUGAGUGACCAUAGUUGCAAGAUUUUCUUUUGUAUCUUCCUGAGGCCUUUCCCAAAGAGGCUGGGAUUCUCCUUGGCUUUUAAGAACCCAGAGAUCAUAUUUCAUCAGCUAGGAGUCUGUUGGGCUAAACCAGUGGACGAAAUAACCAUCUCCUUUUGGCCACCUGACAAUUUUGAGAAGAGAAAACUCUGAGGGAAGUAGGAAACUUUUCCCUUCAGAUUGUAGGAAUCACUUGGCUGGGAACAAAAUUUGCAUCAUGCCAUUCCUUCACUAACGUGGACAGGACUUAGCACUAGGCAAAAAAAAAAAAAAAAAUCAGGCUAGAAGGCAGCUCACGGUAAAUAUUAACAUCUGCCAGUACAGCAUAACAUGAAUUAGGAAAUGGGGCUGUGAGUGCAUCAGUGUUGCUUCUCCUGCCACUGACAAUAUUUGAACGUAUGUCUUCAUUAUCUUUUUAUUCACCUGGCUCACUUCUCCAAGAGUAAAGACUACCAUCUAUCUCAUGUACCAAGAACUCAAGCAUCCAACCUAGUACCUGAUAUACAGUAUAUACCUGAUGCAUGUUGAAUAAACAAAAGUAAUAAUGAAUA